GCGACGCCACAGGAGCGGGUGUUCGCCUACGUCACUGGGGCGCUACAGUACCUGGAGCUGGGCAGUCUUCUCAUCAGAGUGGGGACUAAUAACAGUGACCUCCCCGCCAGGUCCUGUGUGUUGCCGGCUGAAGAAGGGUAGCUGAAAAAUUCAGACCCAGCACAGUGUUUAUGUUGGUCAAAAAUAGAAAACUAUGUCUGGCGUGGCCGAGGCGGGAGGACCCUUCAGGCCAAGAGCAGCCUAGCAACAUGGCGCAACCCCAUCUCUGUAGUCCUACCUCAGACCCCCAGCUACUUGAACCCAAAGGUUCAAGGCUCCAGUGAGCUAUGAUCCCACCACAGCAUUCCAGCCUGCGAGAUUGAGAUGAUGAUUAUUCCCCACCUUCUGAGAGACAAAGACCAACGAGCCACCACAGCCACCAGUCCCAGAACCCGCCAAUGCUGGGGAACGGAAAAUGAGGGAGUUCAACUCUGGCCCUCACAAUCCAGUGGAGGAGACGAAACUCAUCUGCCUCUGUCCCUCUGGGCACGCUUCAUGCCAGGUGCAUCUGUGGACAGGGGCCAUGCUCCUGGGCUUCCAAAGUUGGAGAAAGCUGCCAGGCUCAGGUCUGAAGGCCAGAAUUCUACAGUAAGUCCUACUGAGUCAAGGUGGGAGCAGGGUCGGUGGCUUCUGAGGCUCUGUGGGAGAAUCUGUUUCCUGGCCGUGGAGGUGGCCUGCACUCCUCAGCUUGUGCUGCCCGUCUCGAAUGACUGGAGUUUCCUGCUUCUGUCACUACACCUCCCACCCUCUCCAUCACCUGCUCUGCUCUUAUAAGGAUCUGGAGAAAUGGAAUAAUCGUAUCGCUGAUCUACGUAAACAAAUUGAAGAAUUGUCUGAAAGAAAGUAUGACAUGAACUUAUGAAUUCAACAGGUGAAGAUUUACAACUUGAUAAAUCAGCUUCGUGAGCUCGAGCUGUAAAAGCCAAAGGUCCGGUGAUGAUCCCAUACCCUUUUUUCCAGUCUCAUGUUGAAGAUUUUUAUGUAGAAGGCCUUCCCAAAGGAAUUUUUUUUUUUUUUUUUUUUUUUUUUGAGAUGGAGUUUUCGCUCUUAUCGCCCAGGCUGGGGUGCAAUGGUGCAACCUUGCUGGUCACUGCAACCUCUGCCUCCUGGGUUCAGGAAAUUCUCCUGCCUUAGCCUCCCAAGUCGCUGGGAUUACAGGUGCCCACCACCACACCAGAGCCACCUAAGCUGAAGAUUCCCUUGAGAACAAGUACUGUCCUGUGGUUUCAUGGCCUUUCUUCCAUUUGUGGUUCUUGUGAAGUGGAAUUUAAAUGACAUCUUAUCAAGAUGGAUAAACCCUAGUUUCCCAGUGCUGGAAUAUAGAAAAUGGAUGGACAAGUAAAUCCCACUCAUCACCCAUAGUCCAGGCAUGGGGACCUCAACACACCUGAGCCCCAGACAUCACCUUUCAUUCUGGACCUACCAUGAAAGACUUCUGAAUCCAGGAAGAGAGACUGACUGGGCAACAUGUUGUUCAGAAACAGGACCUUGCCCUGUCAUUUAGGAUGGAGUUCAGUGGUCCAAUCAUGGCUCAUUGUAGCCUCAAACUCCCAGGCUCAAGCAAUCCUACCAUGUCAGCCUUCCCAGUAGCUGGGACUACAGGCUGGAGUACAGUGGCACAACCUCUGCUCACUGCAGCCUCCACCUGCCAGGCUCAAGCAAUUCUCCUGCCUCAGCCUCCUGAGUAGCUGGGAUUAUAGGAAGUGAGCUCACAAUGACUCAAGCUACCACAUAGUGUUGAUUGUGAAAUGCCAGUUGAAGCAUAUGUCCUGCGAGCUUAGGGGUGCUACAAGUUGACCACUGCAGCAGUAAAGAUGACUCUGAAGAAUGGCAUGGGAUGGAUCCUUUCGAAUGCACUUGAGCAGCGGUCUCCAACCACAGGGCCACAGAGCUGGAGCUGGAUCUACCAUGAAAGACUUCUGAAUCCAGGAAGAGAGACUGACUGGGCAACAUGUUAUUCAGGUACAAAAAGAUUUGGACUGUAAGUUAAAAAUGAUCAAAUAAUAGUGCAUGCAUCAAGUGCAAUGGGAAGCUCUUCUGGAGAGUGAGAGAAGCUUCCAGUUAAGGAGAUGGGGUCUCACCCUGUCACCCAGGCUUGAGUACAGUAGUGCUAUCACAGCUCACUGCAGCCUUGAACUCCUGGGCUAAGGAUCCUCCUACCUGAGCCUCCUGAGUAGCUGGGACUGGUCUCCCUCUCUUGUCCAAGGCUGGAGUGUAGUAGUGCUAUCACAGCUGACUGCAGCCUCAACCUUCCAGGCUGAAGCGAUCCUCCCAUCUCAACCUCCCACGUGGCUGAGACUAUAGGUGCUUGCCACUAUGCCCAACUAAUAUUUGGAAUUUUCCUAUACGUGGAUUCCAGAGGGGUGACAGCGAAACGUAGGACCAUCCAGUUGCAGAAAAACAAGCUUAACACGCCCACUGAUUCUACAUUAUGCCCCUACCUCCCGGCAGCCUCUCCAGGCCCAGAACUUUCUCCAGUCAGCCUCCACAGACCAAGCUCAUGACUCACAAUGGCCUAUUUAGGCCCAUACCCUACCUCACGGCAGUCUCUGCAGAUGAGGCUACUGCCUCACAACAGCCUCCACAGGCACAGCUCCACCGUUACAAUGGCCUCUUUAGACCCAGCUCCUGCCUCCCAGCCUUCUCUCCAGGCCCUGAGCUUUCUCAAGUCGACCUCACCAGGCCCAGCUCAUGCUUCUUGGCAGCCUCUCCAGGCCCAGCUCCUGCAUCUUGGCAGCCUCUCCAGGCCCAGCCUCUGCCUCCUGUCAGCCUCUACAGUCCCAACAUCUGCCUCACAGCAGAUUCUUCAGGCCCAGUAUCUGCCUCACUGUGGACCACCCAAGCCAAGCUCCCAACCUUUCAGCAGCUUCUACACACCCAGCUCCUGCCACCCAGUGGCCUCUUUAGGCCAAGCUCAUGCCUCACAAGGGCCUUUCCAGGCCCAACUUUUGUCUCAUGGCAACCUUCCCUGGCCACAUUCCUGCCUGUCUCCCAGCAGCCUAGACAGGCCCAGGUCUUGCCUCACACUGGCCUGUCUACAUCCAGCUCUUGCCUCACGGUGGCCUCUCCAGGCCCAGCUCCUGUCCCAGGACGUCAUCUCCAGGCCCAAAACUUCCUCAAGUCAGCCUCUCUAGUCCCAACUGCUGCCUCCUGGUGGCCUAUGAAGGCCCAAAAUCUCCUCAAGUUGACCUCUCCAGGCCCAGCUCCUGCCUCCUGUCAGCGUCUACAGGCCCAACCUCUGCCUCAUGGGGGCUUCUCCAGGCCCAGCUCUUCCUCUGGGCUGAGUCUACAGGCACAACUGCUGCCUCACAACAGCCUUUUUUGGCCCAGUUCCUGUCCAGCUCACAGCGACCAAUGUAGGCCCAAAACUUCCUCAAGUCAAACUCUCCAGGCCUGCCUUCUUCCUGGUGGCAUGAACAGGCCCAGCUUUGACUUGAGAACAGCCUCUGCAGGCCCUGCUCUUGCCUCCCAGGGGCUUCUCCAGGCCCAGCUCUUGCCUCAUGGCGGCUGCCCCAGGCCAAGUUUCUGCCUGCCUGCCAGCAGCCUCAACAGGCACAGCUCUUCCCUCACAGUGGCCCAUUUAGGCCCAACUCAUGACUGUCGGGCCAUUUCCAGGCCUAGUGCCUGCCUCCUGGCUGACUCUUGAAGCCCAAAACUUCCUCAAAUCAGCCUUUUGCCCAACUUCUGUCUACUGUCGGACUCUACAGGCCAGCCUCUGCCUCACAGUGGACCCUCCAGACCCAGAUGGUGUCUCACUGUGGCAUCCUCAGGCGAAGCUCCUGCCUUUCAGCAGCCUCUACGGGCCCAGCUCCUGCCUUGCAAUGGCCUCUUUAGGCCAAGCUCAUGCCCCACGGCGACUUUUCCAGGCACAGCUUUUGCCUUUUGCAGCCUGUCCAGGCCCAGAAUGUCCUUAACUCGGCGUCUCCAGGACGAGCUCAUCCUCCCAGUGCGUCUACAGGCCCGUCUCCUGCCUCACAACAACCUCCUUUGGUCCAACUCCUGCUGAGCUGCUUGGCAGCCUCUGUAGGCCACAGAGUUCUUAAAGUAAAGCUUUCCAGGCCCACCUUCGGCCUCCCGGCAGCCUCAGCAAUCAAACUAUUCCCUCACUGCGGCCACCGAAAGCCAAGUUUCUCCCUGCCUCACAGCAUCCUCCGAAAACUGAGCAUUUGCCUCACGGUGGCCUCCCCAGGCCACGAAUCUGCCUGCCUCCCAGGCAGCUGCUGCCUCACAAUGGUCUCUUUAGGCCCAGCUCUUGCUAAAAGACAGACUCUCCAGGCACAGCUCUUGCCUCCUGGCAGGCUCUGCAGGCCCAAAUUCUCCAAAAGUUGGCCUCUCCUAACUCAGCUCCUGCCUCAUGUCGGCCUACACAGGCCCAGACUCUUACCACACAGUAGACCCUCCAGGCCCACCACUUGCCUGAGCAUAGCCUCCUAAGGCCAAGCUCCUGCCUUUCGGCAGCCUCUACAGGCCCAGCUCCUGCCUCGCAAUUGCCUUUGUAGGCCAAGAUCAUGCCGCGAAGUGGCCUUUCCUAGCCUAACUUUUGCUUUUUGACGCAUACUCCGGUCCCAAAACUUCCUCCAGUCAGCCAGUCCAGGCCAAGCUCUUCCUCCCAAAGGCUUCUGCAGGCCAAAAUCGUCCUGAAGUCACCCUCUGCAGGCCCAGCUCCUGCCUCCAAGUGCUGUGUAGGCCAAGCUAAUGCCUCACAGCACACUUUCCAGGCUGAGCAUUUCCUUUUGUGCAUCCUCUCCAAGCCCUGAACUUACUCCAGUUGGCCUCUCCAGACCAAGCUCUCCCUCCCAGUGGCCUCUACAGGCCAAAAUUGUCCUCAAGUCAGCCUCUCCAGGGCCAACUCCUAGCUACCGGUGGCUUCUGCAGGCCAAAAUCGACCUCAAGUCAGCCUCUUCACACCCAGCUCUUGUCUGUAAGUGGCCUCUGCAGGAGCAAAACUGCCUCAAGUCGGCCUCUCCAGGCCCAGCCUCCUGCUUCCCGAGGGCAUGUACAGGCCCAGCCUCUGCCUCACAGCAGACUCUCCAUGCCCAGCUCUUCCCUGUCUGCUGCCUCUCCAGUCCAAAGCUGCGCCUGCCUUUCGGCAACUUGUACGGGCCCAGCUCCUCCCUCACGGUGGCCUCUUUUCGCCCAACUCAUGCCUCUUGCAACCUGCCCAAGUGUCAGCUCCUGCCUCACACUGGCCUCUUGAGGCUCAGCUCAUGCCUCUCGUGGCCUCAACGGGCCCAGCCCCUGCCUGUCGGCGGCCUCUACAGGCCCAGCCUCUACCUCACAGUGGGCUCUCCAGGCCCACCUCUUUCUCACCGUGGCCUCCUGGGGCAAUGCUCCCCGCUCUCGGGAGCCUCUGCGGGCCCAGCUCCUGCCUCCCAGUGGCCUCUGUAGGCCAAGCCCGUGCCUCAGGGCAGCCUUUCCAGGCCUAGCGUUUGCUGCUUUGCAUCCUCUCCAGGCUCUGGACUUCCUCCAGUCGGCCUCUCCAGGCCCAGCUCUUCCUCCCGGCGGCCUCUGCAGGCCCAGACUGUUGUCAAGUCGGCCUGUCCAGGGCCAGCUCCUGCCUCCCGGUGCCCUCUGCAGGCCCAAGUCGUCCUCAAGUCGGCCUCCCCAGGCCCAGCUCCGGCCUCUCGGCGGCCGCUCCAGGUGCAAAAGUUCCUCGAGUCAGCCUCUCCAGGCCCAGCUCCUCCUGCCUCCCAGCGGCCUCUUUCGGCCCAGCCCAGCUCAUGCCUCCCGGCGGCCUUCCCGGCCUCCUGCCUCCCGAAGGCCUGCACAGGCCCAGCCUCAGCCUCACAGCGGACUCUCCACGCCCAGCUAGCUCUCGCCUCACUGCGGCCUCCCAAGUCCAAAGCUCCUGCCUCUCGGCCGCUUUGGCAGGCCCAGCUCCCGCCUGCCAGUGGCCUCUUCAGGCCCAUGGGGCUCAUUCCUCACAACGGCCUUUCCAGGCCCAGUUUUUCCCUUCCGGCGGCCUCUGCGGACCCAGAACCUCCUCAAGUCGGCCUCUCCAGACCCACUUGCAGCCUCCCGGCGUCCUCUCCGGGCCCAGCUCUUCCUCCCGGCUGCGUCUCCAGGCCCGACUGCUGCCUCCCAACAACCUCUUUGGACUCAGCGCCUGCGCAUCUCCUGGCGGCCUUGGUCGGCCCACAGCUUCCUCAAGCCAAGCUCCCCAGGCCCAGGUCAGGCCUCACGGUGGCCUCUCCAGGAUCAGCUCCUGCCCUCCGAUGGCGUCUCCAGGCCCCAAAUGGUCUCCGGUCAGUGGGCUCCUCCACGCCCAGCUUGGGCCUCCCGGUGACCUCUGCAGGCCCAAGUCGUCCUGAAGUCGGCGUCUCCCGGCCCUGCCUCCCAGCAAGUAAGCAAGCUCUUUUGGCUCAACUCCUGCCCAGCUCCCAGCCGCCUUUGUAGGCCCCGAACUUUCUCGAGCCAAGCUCUUCGCGCCCGCCUACUGCCUCUCGGUGGCCUGUACAGGCCCAGCUCUGGCUGUAGAACAGCCUCUGCAGGCCCCGCUCUUGCCUCCUAGGGACCUCUCCAGGCCCAGCUCUCGCCCCCACGGCGGCCUCCCGGGGCCAAGUCCCUGCCUGCCUCCCGGCAGCCCGCGUGCGGCCCAGUUCCUCCCUCACGGUGGCCUGUUGAUGCCCAACUCAUGCCUCUGACACCCUGCCCAGAGGCGUGAGUCCCUGCCUCACACUGGCUCCUCCCACGCUGAGAGGUCGGCGUGAGCCCCUUGCCUCACACCGGCCCCUCCCAUGCUGAGAGAGGUCCGCAUGAGCCCCUUGCCUCACACUGGCCCCUCGCCUCACACUGGCCCCUCCCACGCUGACAAAGGUCGGUGUGAGCCCCUUGCCUCACACUGGCCCCUCGCCUUGCACCGGCCCCUCCCAUGCCAAGAGAGGUCAGCAUGAGCCCCUUGCCUCACAGCGGCCCCUCCCACGCCGAGAGAGGUCAGCGUGAGCCCUUGCCUCACACUGGCCCCUCCCACGCUGAGGUCAGCGUGAGCCCCUGCCUCAACAGGCCACUGUGAGGGAGGAGCAGGGCCGCACGCAGGCUGCCGGGAGCAGGCAGGGACUUGGCCGCGGUGGGGCGAGAGCUGGGCCUGGAGACGCCCCUGGGAGGCAACAGCGGGGCCUGCAGAUGCUUUCUGCUGCCAGAGCUGGGACUGUACAGGCCACUGGGAGGCAGGAUGUGGGCCUGAAGAGCUUGGCUGCAGAAACUUCGGGGUCUACAAACGCCGGCGGGAGCUGAGCCAAAAGAGCUUGCUUGCUGGGAGGCAGGAGCUGGGCCGAGAGAUGCAGCCAGGAGGAACAGCUGGGCCUGCAGAGGCCGCCAUGCGGGAGGCAGAGGCCGGGCCUCCUCAAGUCGGCCUCUCCAGACCCACUUGCAGCCUCCCGGCGUCCUCUCCGGGCCCAGCUCUUCCUCCCGGCUGCGUCUCCAGGCCCGACUGCUGCCUCCCAACAACCUCUUUGGACUCAGCGCCUGCGCAUCUCCUGGCGGCCUUGGUCGGCCCACAGCUUCCUCAAGCCAAGCUCCCCAGGCCCAGGUCAGGCCUCACGGUGGCCUCUCCAGGAUCAGCUCCUGCCCUCCGAUGGCGUCUCCAGGCCCCAAAUGGUCUCCGGUCAGUGGGCUCCUCCACGCCCAGCUUGGGCCUCCCGGUGACCUCUGCAGGCCCAAGUCGUCCUGAAGUCGGCGUCUCCCGGCCCUGCCUCCCAGCAAGUAAGCAAGCUCUUUUGGCUCAACUCCUGCCCAGCUCCCAGCCGCCUUUGUAGGCCCCGAACUUUCUCGAGCCAAGCUCUUCGCGCCCGCCUACUGCCUCUCGGUGGCCUGUACAGGCCCAGCUCUGGCUGUAGAACAGCCUCUGCAGGCUCCGCUCUUGCCUCCCAGAGGCCUCUCCAGGCCCAGCUCUCGCCCCCACGGCGGCCUCCCGGGGCCAAGUCCCUGCCUGCCUCCCGGCAGCCCGCGUGCAGCCCAGUUCCUCCCUCACGGUGGCCUGUUGAUGCCCAACGCAUGCCUCUGACACCCUGUCCAGAGGCAUGAGUCCCUGCCUCACACUGGCUCCUCCCACGCUGAGAGAGGUCCGCAUGAGCCCCUUGCCUCACACCGGCCCCUCCCAUGCUGAGAGAGGUCUGCAUGAGCCCCUUGCCUCGCACCGGCCCCUGCCAUGCUGAGAGAGGUCGGCGUGAGCCCCUUGUCUCGCACCGGCCCCUCCCACGCUGAGAGAGGUCGGCCUGAGCCCCUUGCCUCGCACCGGCCCCUCCCACGCUGAGAGAGGUUGGCGUGAGCCCCUUGCCUCACACUGGCCCCUCCCACGCUGACCCCUUGCCUCACACCAGCCCCUCCCACGCUGACAGAGGUCGGCGUGAGCCCCUUGCCUGACACUAGCCCCUCCCACGCUGACCCCUUGCCUCACACCGGUCCCUCCCACGCUGAUCCCUUGCCUCACACCGGCCCCUCCCAUGCUGACAGAGGUCAGUGUGAGCCCCUUGCCUCACACUGGCCCCUCCCACGCUGAUCCCUUGCCUCACACCGGCCCCUCCCAUGCUGACAGAGGUCAGCGUGAGCCCCUUGCCUCACACCGGCCCCUCCCACACUGACAGAGGUCAGCGUGAGCCCCUUGCCUCACACCGGCCCCUCCCACACUGACAGAGGUCAGCGUGAGCCCCUUGCCUCACACCGGCCCCUCCCACACUGACAGAGGUCAGCGUGAGCCCCUUGCCUCACACCGGCCCCUCCACACUGACAGAGGUCAGCGUGAGCCCCUUGCCUCACACCGGCCCCUCCCACGCUGACCCCUUGCCUCACAGCGGCCCCUCCCACACUGACCCCUUGCCUCACACUGGCCCCUCCCAUGCUGAGAGAGGUCGGCAUGAGCCCUUGCUUCACACCGGCCCCUCCCAGGCUGAGAGAGGUCAGCGUGAGCCCCUGCCUCAACAGGCCACCGUGAGGGAGGAGCAGGGCCGCACGCAGGCUGCCGGGAGCAGGCAGGGACAUGGCCCCGGGCGGCCGCGGUGGGGCGAGAGCUGGGCCUGGGGACGCCCCUGGGAGGCAACAGUGGGGCCUGCAGACGCUCUUCUCCUGCCAGAGCUGGGACUGUACAGGCCACUGGGAGGCAGGAUGUGGGCCUGAAGAGCUUGGCUGCAGAAACUUCGGGGUCUACAAACGCCGGCGGGAGCUGAGCCAAAAGAGCUUGCUUGCUGGGAGGCAGGGGGUGGGCCGGGAGAUGCAGCCGGGAGGAACAGCUGGGCCUGCAGAGGCCGCCAUGCGGGAGGCAGAGGCCAGGCCUCUCCAGACCCACUUGCAACCUCCCGGCGUCCUCUCCGGGCCCAGCUCUUCCUCCCGGCUGCGUCUCUAGGCCCGACUCCGGCCUCCCAACAACCUCUUUGGACUCAGCUCCUGCCCAGCUCCCAGUGGCCCUGGUAGGCCCACAACUUCCUGAAGCCAAGCUCCCCAGGCCCAGGUCAGGCCUCACGGUGGCCUCGCCAGGCUCAGCUCCUGCCCUCCGAUGGCAUCUCCAGGUCCCAAACGGCCUCCGGUCGGUGGGCUCCUCUAGGCCCAGCUUGGGCCUCCCGGCGGCCUCUGCAGGCCCAAAUCGUCCUGAAGUCGGCCUCUCCAGGUCCAGCUCCAGCCUCCCGGCAGCCUCUGCAGGCCUAAGUUGUCCUCAAGUCGGCCUGGAAGUGGGCCUGGAAGAGCUGCAAGUUGGCCUCCCUGGGCCCAGCUCCGUCCUCUUGGCCUCUCCAGGUGCAAAACUUCCUCGAGUCAGCCUCUCCAGGCCCAGCUCCUCCUGCCUCCCAGUGGCCUCUUUUGGCCCAGCCCAGCUCAUGGCUCUCAGCAGCCUUCCCAGGCCCCGCUUUUGACUUUUGGUGGCCUCUUCAGGCCCAGAACUUGACCUCCAGUCGGCCUUUGCAGGCCCGGCUUCCUGCCUCUCGAAGGCCUGCACGGGCCCAGCCUCAGCCUCACAGCGGACUCUCCACGCCCAGCUAGCUCUCGCCUCACUGCGGCCUCCCCAGUCGAAAGCUCCUGCCUUUCGGCCGCUUUGGCAGGCCCAGCUCCUGCCUGCCAGUGGCCUCUUUAGGCCCAGCUCAUUCCUCACAACGGCCUUUCCAGGCCCCGUUUUUCCCUUCCGGCAGCCUUUUGGCCUCUAAUUUGUUUAUCUUUUGUGUAUAAAUCCCAAAAUAUGGAAUUUUGGAAUAUUGCUACCAUUAUAUAAAUAUUUUCGUAUGUAA
ensembl:lncRNA novel transcript